rnacentral:rRNA from 1 species
CGCUGUAGUUUGAUCCUGGCUCAGGAUGAACGCUAGCGGCAGGCCUAAUACAUGCAAGUCGAACGGUGUAGCAAUACAUAGUGGCGCACGGGUGCGUAACACGUAUGCAACCUACCUUAUACUUAGGGAUAGCCUUUGGAAACGGAGAUUAAUACCUGAUGGUACAUUGAUUUGGCAUCUGAUUAAUGUUAAAGAUUUAUUGGUAUAAGAUGGGCAUGCGUCCAAUUAGUUAGUUGGUGGGGUAAUGGCUCACCAAGACGAUGAUUGGUAGGGGAACUGAGAGGUUAAUCCCCCGACACUGGCACUGAGAUACGGGCCAGACUCCUACGGGAGGCAGCAGUAGGGAAUAUUGGGGCAAUGGAGGCAACUCUGACCCAGCCCAUGCCGCGUGCAGGAUGAAGCGUUAUGCGUUGUAAACUGCUUUUAGA